AGGCCAUCUCCCUUCCUGACUUUCUCCCCUUUCUCCUGGGGGAUUUGAGUAUAUAUGAUUUGAGGGAAAGGAACUGAGAGUGGGUUUGAGGGGUAAAGUUUCUAGGAGUGAAAGAGCAAAGAUUUUUCCCCAAGAGAAGGAACAGAUGUCUGCAGUUUUUGGGAUACCUGUCACGGUGCUCUGGGGUCCAUCCUCCACAGAACCUCAGGAAGAUGACAGGCCGCCCAGAGGUACCAACUCCAUGAUAACAAAACGAGAGAACCAUGCUGCUGAGGGAAAGCUCUAGAGUUGGCUGGCUUGUCAAGUUUCUCCUCACAUUUGCCAUCCCCACUUCAUUUCCUGACUUGUAAACAGGCGGGAUGAGAGCAGGUGACUGAUGAGUUUGAUAACCAGCGAGCUCUGCUGUGCUCAGCAUAUCCUGUUAUUGUGAAUCUCAAGUCCUGCUUUGGCAUCGGCUGCU
rnacentral:lncRNA from 1 species